UACAGAGGGGGCCAGCGUUAUUCGGAAUUAUUGGGCGUAAAGGGCGCGUAGGCGGCUUUGCGUGUCUUUCGUGAAAUCCCUCGGCUCAACUGAGGACGUGCGGAAGAAACUGCAGGGCUGGAGUCCGGGAGAGGAGGGUGGAAUUCCCAGUGUAGCGGUGAAAUGCGUAGAUAUCAGGAGGAACACCGGUGGCGAAGGCGGGUCUCUGGGCCGAUACUGACGCUGAGGAGCGAAAGCGUGGGGAGCGAACAGG
rnacentral:rRNA from 1 species